UUCUACCUGCGGGCCGUGCUCGGGAGCACAGCCUACGACGCAGGUUCGGACAUCGUCGACUACUUCCACGGCUACUUGAACUACCAGGGUGAGCACCACGCCUUCCCGGACCUCUCUCCCUUGCAUUACCAGCGCUUGCACCCUCGCUUCAAGCAGGUGUGCGCAGCGCAUGGUGUGCCGUACGUGCAGGAGAGCGUGUGGCUGCGUGUUAAGAAGACAGUGGACAUCA
rnacentral:sRNA from 1 species